ensembl:lncRNA
CUGCCACGAUGGAUUAGAUUAGUUUUGACCUUGUGCUUGGGUCAAGGUCAAUGCUGACAUAAUGAAGGUAGUCAGUUCAUAUUAUGAACUGACUACUUCUGCUCAGCCUGACCAAAAGAAUAACAAAUUAUAACUGCUUGGUUUUUAGAUGUAUGGUAGUCAACUGCCCUCACAGUGUGCACAUGAAAACUUUCUCUAACACACAUACACACACACACAUGUAGACAAACAAACACACACACACUUGCACUCAGAAAUGCACACACAAACACAAACACACACACACACACAAACAGAAACACACACACACACAAACAGAAACACACACACACACACACACACACACACUGAUUAAGGGGCAUCACGGCGGCUGAUCUACGGUUUCCCGAGGCUGGGCAGGGCACGGGGCCAGGGCCGAGGGCCAGCUGCCUCUCGGGGUGUAAUUACGGCGUACUUCAGCCCUGGAUCACCUAUCAAAUCCAUCUAAUCCAGGCUAUCACCUUCACCGUCACACUGCCGCAGACACGGGACAAUCACCACAUCCACCGCCGCUCUCCACCGCGCUCAGGCCUGGGGAGGUCGUAGAUAUAGAAGGAAAAGUAAUAAUAAUCAUCUCCCGUCUGGGAUUAAUAAAGUGCAUACAUCGUAUUUGGUCUGAUGUAAUAGCGACGCAAUGCGUUUUUUUUUUUUUUUUUUUUAUCAAGGGCGGACCAUAGGACACAUAAUGGGGGUGGUUCAGUCUGAAUAGAUAACAGUGGAUUAGUCUGGGGUUGGUAGCUGCUAAUGAGACAAUAAGGAAACAAAACCAAAAGGCCGACCUUUCAUCAUGUAAGUGAAACUUAACGGCAAGUACGACCGAUGCUCUGUUUGGGUGAUUGAUUGAUAGCCUGAGAGUGUGAUAACGAUGAAGGGACCGUCAAACAGCCCUGGCUCCCACACCCAGACGGAACCAUGUGUCGUAACACUUUGGUUUAAGCACUUUGGGUAUGUAUGUUCAAUGAAACGCCAUUUAAGCAUCUUGCUGGUACAAUCCACCA